rnacentral:rRNA from 1 species
UACAGAGGGUGCGAGCGUUAAUCGGAAUUACUGGGCGUAAAGCGCGCGUAGGCGGUUUUGUAAGUCGGGUGUGAAAUCCCCAAGCUUAACUUGGGAACUGCAUUCGAGACUGCAUAGCUAGAGUAUGGGAGAGGGAAGUGGAAUUUCAGGUGUAGCGGUGAAAUGCGUAGAUAUCAGGAGGAACACCGGUGGUGUAGACGGCUUUCUGGACAAUCACUGACGCUGAGGUACGAAAGCGUGGGUAGCAGACAGG